CGGGGCCGGCCCACCCGUGGGGACGACUUGAGCGUUGAGGGCGCGCGGGGAGGCGAGCCACCAUGUUCAGCCAGCAGCAGCAGCAGCAGCUCCAGCAACAGCAGCAGCAGCUCCAGCAGUUACAGCAGCAGCAGCUCCAGCAGCAGCAAUUGCAGCAGCAGCAGUUACUGCAGCUCCAGCAGCUGCUCCAGCAAUCCCCCCAGCCUGACAGCCCCCAGCCUCACACCCCCACAACUGGCCACUCCAAAUUUGCAACAGUUCUUUCCCCAGGCCACUCGCCAGUCCUUGCUGGGACCUCCUCCUGUUGGGGUCCCCAUGAACCCUUCCCAGUUCAACCUUUCAGGACGGAACCCCCAGAAACAGGCCCGGACCUCCUCCUCUACCACCCCCAAUCGAAAGGAUUCUUCUUCUCAGACAAUGCCUGUGGAAGACAAGUCAGACCCCCCAGAGGGGUCUGAGGAAGCCGCAGAGCCCCGGAUGGACACACCAGAAGACCAAGAUUUACCGCCCUGCCCAGAGGACAUUGCCAAGGAAAAACGCACUCCAGCACCUGAGCCUGAGCCUUGUGAGGUGUCCGAGCUGCCAGCAAAGAGAUUGAGGAGCUCAGAAGAGCCCACAGAAAAGGAACCUCCAGGGCAGCUACAGGCGAAGGCCCAGCCGCAGGCCCGGAUGACAGUACCGAAACAGACACAGACACCAGACCUGGUGCCUGAGCACCUGGAAGCCCAAGUGCUGCCACAAUUCCAGCCACGGGUCCUGCAGGUCCAGGCCCAGGUGCAGUCACAGACUCAGCCGCGGAUACCACCCACAGACACCCAGGUGCAGCCGAAGCUGCAGAAGCAGGCACAAACACAGACCUCUCCAGAGCACUUAGUACUGCAACAGAAGCAGGUGCAGCCACAGGUACAGCCACAGGCACAUUCAC
rnacentral:sRNA from 1 species